rnacentral:rRNA from 1 species
UUUUCUCCUGGAAACGGGUGGUAAUGCCGGAUGCUCCAGUUGAUCGCAUGGUCUUCUGGGAAAGCUUUCGCGGUAUGGGAUGGGGUCGCGUCCUAUCAGCUUGACGGCGGGGUAACGGCCCACCGUGGCUUCGACGGGUAGCCGGCCUGAGAGGGCGACCGGCCACAUUGGGACUGAGAUACGGCCCAGACUCCUACGGGAGGCAGCAGUGGGGAAUAUUGCACAAUGGGCGCAAGCCUGAUGCAGCGACGCCGCGUGAGGGAUGGAGGCCUUCGGGUUGUAAACCUCUUUUAUCGGGGAGCAAGCGAGAGUGAGUUUACCCGUUGAAUAAGCACCGGCUAACUACGUGCCAGCAGCCGCGGUAAUACGUAGGGUGCAAGCGUUAUCCGGAAUUAUUGGGCGUAAAGGGCUCGUAGGCGGUUCGUCGCGUCCGGUGUGAAAGUCCAUCGCUUAACGGUGGAUCCGCGCCGGGUACGGGCGGGCUUGAGUGCGGUAGGGGAGACUGGAAUUCCCGGUGUAACGGUGGAAUGUGUAGAUAUCGGGAAGAACACCAAAUG